rnacentral:rRNA from 1 species
ACGAACGCUGGCGGCGUGCCUAAUACAUGCAAGUCGAGCGGAUCUUGAGGAGCUUGCUCCUUGAGAUUAGCGGCGGACGGGUGAGUAACACGUGGGCAACCUGCCUGUAAGACUGGGAUAACACCGGGAAACCGGUGCUAAUACCGGAUAAUUCUUUCCCUCACAUGAGGAAAAGCUGAAAGUCGGUUUCGGCUGACACUUACAGAUGGGCCCGCGGCGCAUUAGCUAGUUGGUAAGGUAACGGCUCACCAAGGCGACGAUGCGUAGCCGACCUGAGAGGGUGAUCGGCCACACUGGGACUGAGACACGGCCCAGACUCCUACGGGAGGCAGCAGUAGGGAAUCUUCCGCAAUGGACGAAAGUCUGACGGAGCAACGCCGCGUGAGUGAUGAAGGCCUUCGGGUCGUAAAACUCUGUUGUCAGGGAAGAACAAGUAUCGGAGUAACUGCCGGUACCUUGACGGUACCUGACCAGAAAGCCACGGCUAACUACGUG